rnacentral:rRNA from 1 species
UGGGGAAUAUUGGACAAUGGGGGCAACCCUGAUCCAGCAAUGCCGCGUGUGUGAAGAAGGUCUUCGGAUUGUAAAGCACUUUCGACGGGGACGAUGAUGACGGUACCCGUAGAAGAAGCCCCGGCUAACUUCGUGCCAGCAGCCGCGGUAAUACGAAGGGGGCUAGCGUUGCUCGGAAUGACUGGGCGUAAAGGGCGUGUAGGCGGUUUACACAGUCAGAUGUGAAAUCCCCGGGCUUAACCUGGGAGCUGCAUUUGAUACGUGUAGACUAGAGUGUGAGAGAGGGUUUGUGGAAUUCCCAGUGUAGAGGUGAAAUUCGUAGAUAUUGGGAAGAACACCGGUGGCGAAGGCGGCAACCUGGCUCAUGACUGACGCUGAGGCGCGAAAGCGUGGGGAGCAAACAGGAUUAGGAUACCCUGGUAGUCCACGCCUGUAAACGAUGUGUGCUAGAUGUUGGGUAACUUUGUUAUU